UACGUAGGUGGCGAGCGUUGUCCGGAUUUACUGGGCGUAAAGAGCGCGCAGGCGGUCGUUCAAGUCGCGUGUGAAAGCCCCCGGCUCAACUGGGGAGGGUCACGCGAUACUGAUCGACUCGAAGGCAGGAGAGGGUAGUGGAAUUCCCGGUGUAGUGGUGAAAUUCGUAGAUAUUCGGAAGAACACCAGUGGCGAAGGCGACUUACUGGACGACUGUUGACGCUGAGGUGCGAAAGCGUGGGGAGCAAACAGG
rnacentral:rRNA from 1 species